AGAGUUUGAUCCUGGCUCAGAAUCAACGCUGGCGGCGCGCCUAACACAUGCAAGUCGAACGAGAAAGUGGAGCAAUCCAUGAGUAAAGUGGCGUACGGGUGAGUAACACGUGGGUGAUCUACCCUUUGGUGGGGAAUAACUUUGGGAAACCGAAGCUAAUACCGCAUGAUCCCGAGAGGGAAAAGCAGCAAUGCGCCGAA
rnacentral:rRNA from 1 species